rnacentral:rRNA from 1 species
UACCGCGGUUAAACGAGUGGCUCAAGCUGCCAGUUCCCGGCGUAAAGGGUGGUUAAUGACUAUAAAAACUAAAGCCGAACGCCUUUGAUGCCGUCAAAAGCACCGUGAAGGUAUGAAGCCCACCCACGAAAGUGGCUUUACAAACCAUGAAUCCACGAAAACUAGGGAA